rnacentral:rRNA from 1 species
GACGAACGCUGGCGGCGUGCCUAACACAUGCAAGUUGAGCGACGAACCAGGCUUCGGCCUGGGGCAAAGCAGCGAACGGGUGAGUAACACGUGGGUAACCUACCCCGAUGAUUGGGACAACCCGAGGAAACUCGGGCUAAUACCGAAUGUGCUCGUUGGACAUCAGUCCGACGCGUAAAGGAAGCUUCGGCCUCCGCAUCGGGAGGGGCCCGCGGCCCAUUAGCUAGUUGGUGAGGUAACGGCUCACCAAGGCAACGAUGGGUAGCUGGUCUGAGAGGACGAUCAGCCACACUGGGACUGAGACACGGCCCAGACUCCUACGGGAGGCAGCAGUGGGGAAUCUUGCGCAAUGCGCGAAAGCGUGACGCAGCAACGCCGCGUGGGGGAAGAAGGCCUUCGGGUUGUAAACCCCUUUCAGGAGGGACGAAGGUUCGGCGGUGAAUAGCCGACCGGACUGACGGUACCUCCACAAGAAGCCCCGGCUAACUACGUGCCAGCCGCCGCCGUAAAAC